rnacentral:rRNA from 1 species
AAGGAUCAUUAACACUAAUCCAACUCAACUCAACCAAGCCUUCAGUUGCAGUAGUACGAGCUAGCGAAAGCAAAGCAGUGCCGCUGCAGCAACAACAUAACUAAUCAAACAAAGGAGCCUAACUAAGCUCAACCACAACAACCAAAUUCUCAACGAUGGAUAUCUUGGUUCCCAUAACGAUGAAGAACGCAGCGAAGUGCGAUAAGCAAUGCGAAUUGCAGAACCGUGAGUCAUCAGAUUUUUGAACGCAUCUGGCGCCGGCUGGCUCUCCAGCCGGCAUGCUUGUUUCAGUGUCUUGUUAUCUCCUCACCCAAAUCUUAAUGCAAGAGAUACCCUUCUCUUGUCAAGCAAGAAAGCACUCUGCGCUCUGCGAGCGACUUCAACUUGUUUGAAGGUUGCACUCAAUGCAGCAGUCACAUUGCUCACAAUGUGAACUCAUUGAGAGCAGAGGCAGUGCAGCUUCGGCUGCCAGUGCUUAGACACUAUAACUUUCUUUGUAUCUGAAAUCAAGCAGGAUCACCCGCUGAACUUAAG